UUUCUAAUUUUAUCCACACCGUGCUCCUAUCAUUCUCUUUCUCUCUUAGAAUCAACCUCUCACCACUGUGACAACUGGUCGGCACCCAACGACGACGCCAGUGUCAAAUAGGGUUUCAAUAAAUGAUUAUCCAAGCCUAAAAUCCGUUGCUAGGGUUUCUUGCAGUUUCGUUGAGUUUGUGGUAUGGAUAUUAUGGGAACUAUCAUUUGACAUUGGGACCAAAUUGGUCGUGGUUGUUAAAGGCAAGUUCUAUCUUUGUUGAUGAGAUUUAGAUUAGAGAUGAUGUAAAGAAAGGGGUUGUACUUUAUGGGUUCCGAGAAAAACCAGAAUUGAGCUUGCAAACUAAUUGAAACAUCUCAAAUUAUGUCAUUAUUGGACCAUACCAUAAACAGGAAUUCAUCUUUGUUGGAAUUUUGAGAAUCAGAAGAAGUUUUUUGUAUACCAAGUGUUAUAAAUGAAACUAUAUGUUUUUGAGAAUGGAUGAUAAAAGUUGUAUUUUAUGUAUUUGUGACUUAAAUGUUUUGAAUGGAGAAUGGAUGUUUA